rnacentral:rRNA from 1 species
UACGGGGGGGGCAAGCGUUGUUCGGAAUUACUGGGCGUAAAGGGCUCCUAGGCGGCCAACUAAGUCGGAUGUGAAAUCCCCAGGCUUAACCUGGGAACUGCAUCCGAUACUGGAUGGCUUGAAUCCGGGAGAGGGAUGCAGAAUUCCAGGUGUAGCGGUGAAAUGCGUAGAUAUCUGGAGGAAUACCGGUGGCGAAGGCGGCAUCCUGGACCGGCAUUGACGCUGAGGAGCGAAAGCUAGGGGAGCAAACGGG